CUCCCGCUAGCUCAAUGGAGAGAGCACCCGCGUCCUAAGCGGUCGGUCAGGGUUCGACUCCUGGGCGGGAGA
rnacentral:tRNA from 1 species